rnacentral:rRNA from 1 species
GUGGAUUUGAUACCCUAGUAGUCCACGCCGUAAACGAUGAAUGCUAGGUGUUAGGGGUUUCGAUACCCUUGGUGCCGAAGUUAACACAUUAAGCAUUCCGCCUGGGGAGUACGGUCGCAAGACUGAAACUCAAAGGAAUUGACGGGGACCCGCACAAGCAGUGGAGUAUGUGGUUUAAUUCGAAGCAACGCGAAGAACCUUACCAGGUCUUGACAUCUGAAUGACCGGUGCAGAGAUGUGCCUUUUCUUCGGAACAUUCAAGACAGGUGGUGCACGGUCGUCGCCAGCU